ACAGCGGGAUGCGUACGAAAUGAUUGGAUGUGCGUAAGUCCCUCCUCCCACAGCGUCGGCUCAGCGUCUGCGCUGGGCGAAGGCUACCUGUGGCGUGUUCCUCCUUGAGUUCUAAAUACCGGCGUGGUGCAUAAGGGAGAGAAGUCAGGACUCUGCGCUCAAGCACUUCAGUCUCUUGGGGAGAAGAAGUGUGUAAACAGCCGUCCUUAGGGCCGUCAGUGUUAUAUGAACCGUGCGGACAAGGAGUUUGAGAAACUCGACAGGACAGGAGGACUUGGCACCGUGACGUCCCAUCCCUUCUUCACGGCUUACCUCUGCCCUCUGAUACAGAUGAAUGAUAGAUCUGAUAUCUCUCCAUCUGUUGGUCUGUCUGCGGGAUCCCACGUUAAGCGGAUAACUAAUUGCGAAGAAAAGGUUCUCUCUUUAACGCGAUGCCUUCAACAAGGCAAAAGUUUUUAUUUAUUUCCUCUUCUACAACACACACACUGGAACUUUGUCUUUAUCAUAUCCAUCUCUGUAUUCAUACCAGCACCUAGCAAAAUAAUUUGAGUGUGGCAGGGGCUCCACAGAUGUUUGCUAAAGUAAAGUAACUGUCUCCAGGCGAGUUAGUUAUGAAGAGACAGGCGAUGACAAUUUCAGGUAAAGACGUGUCUUUGGCCAGGUGACUCUCAGUGAACUGCAAAUGACAGUGCAAACAGAAUCUUUCCCCAUAUAAAUGAAAGAGUACCACCCAGGUGCCGAGAGAAACUAUGUGAAGAACUAGAUUUUUGUUUUAGAUGAAACCCUUCAACUAGGAAUCUAGAAAAACAAGGUAAACCCCUCUGGUUAGUAAGAAGAAACACAAAAGGAUAUUUAUAGCUAUCAGUGAAGACUCAGGAGGGAUAAGGAAAUGCAAAUGAAUGAAAUUUGCACAGCCAAGGCAGGGAGCAGUUUAGAGAUCACUGUGCAGAUGCGUGGGAGGGGAGUCUUUUCCUGAAGGCACUGAAGUGAUGGUGGUCUCUUCUCUAAGACAAGCCUGCUCUCCAGGUGCCUGCCCUAGAGAGGAAGUAUCAGGAGGGCAGGUAUAGAAAAUUAUGACUUUUAUCGUCAGUACAUGUCACAAGAAAACAUUUAAAAUGACACCGAAACAAUCAUUGAAAUCAUGGUGCAUGGAGGAAAAAGCCACUUCUCUACAUGGUCUGCACUUACAAUAGAUACAUUCAUUAUUGUCCAAGGGAAGACAGCAACUGCCUUUCAUUUUAAAGAGCUUGGUGGAGAGGCUGAAGAAAUGAUGCUGCAGCUGAAGGUGAGUAGAAUGUUCCGGAGAACAAAGAAGUCUAGAGGGUCUUCAGGAACAGCACUGAGCAUGAUUGGGGCAGGGUCUCUGGGACGAGAGGAGGGGCGGAGGAGAGUGAGGAGUCCAGAUCUGAAGCUGUAGGGUGGAGACUGAGGGUGGAGUCGGGUUUUCGGUGGGGGAAAGUGGGCUACGGACAUCUCUCCGCCUGAGCAGUCCUAGGUUUGUCCUCAGCCCGGGAACGUCGCUCUCUUAGCAAGAGGUGACCCCUGGGCUUUGGAGAUGGGGGAUGGGGCUUGGACUCUUUUGAGGCACAGCAGCAUUUGGGGAAUGG